rnacentral:rRNA from 1 species
AUUGAACGCUGGCGGCAGGCCUAACACAUGCAAGUCGAGCGAGCGGCGGACGGGUGAGUAAUGUAUGGGGAUCUGCCCGCUCGAGGGGGAUACCUACUGGAAACGGAGCUAAUACCGCAUACUAUCGGAUGAACCCAUCUGAGAUUGGCUAGUAGGUGAGGUAAUGGCUCACCAAGGCCACGAUGCGUAGCUGGUUUGAGAGGACGACCAGCCACACUGGGACUGAGACACGGCCCAGACUCCUACGGGAGGCAGCAGUGGGGAAUUUUGGACAAUGGGGGCAACCCUGAUCCAGCCAUCCCGCGUGUAUGAUGAAGGCCUUCGGGUUGUAAAGUACUUUAGGCAGCGAAGCGGUAUCUGCAGAAUAAGCACCGGCUAACUACGUGCCAGCAGCCGCGGUAAUAC